rnacentral:rRNA from 1 species
AUUGAACGCUGGCGGCAGGCCUAACACAUGCAAGUCGAGCGGGGUUUUCGGACCUAGCGGCGGACGGGUGAGUAAUGCGUAGGAAGCUACCCGGUAGAGGGGGAUACCAGUUGGAAACGACUGUUAAUACCGCAUAAUGUCUACGGACCAAAGUGUGGGACCUUCGGGCCACAUGCUAUCGGAUGUGCCUACGUGGGAUUAGCUAGUUGGUGAGGUAAUGGCUCACCAAGGCGACGAUCCCUAGCUGGUUUGAGAGGAUGAUCAGCCACACUGGAACUGAGACACGGUCCAGACUCCUACGGGAGGCAGCAGUGGGGAAUAUUGGACAAUGGGCGCAAGCCUGAUCCAGCCAUGCCGCGUGUGUGAGAAGGCCUUCGGGUUGUAAAGCACUUUCAGUAAGGAGGAAGCGUUGAGUGUUAAUAGUACACAGCGUUGACGUUACCUACAGAAGAAGCACCGGCUAACUCUGUGCCAGCCGCCGCGGUAAAAC